rnacentral:rRNA from 1 species
GACGAACGCUGGCGGCGUGCCUAACACAUGCAAGUCGAGCGAGGUAUUUAUACCUAGCGGCGGACGGGUGAGUAACACGUGGGUAACCUGCCUCAGAGAGGGGAAUAGCCUUCCGAAAGGAAGAUUAAUACCGCAUAAUAUAUACUUUUAGCAUUAUGAGUAUAUCAAAGGAGAAAUCCGCUUUGAGAUGGGCCCGCGGCGCAUUAGCUAGUUGGAGAGGUAACGGCUCACCAAGGCGACGAUGCGUAGCCGACCUGAGAGGGUGAUCGGCCACAUUGGAACUGAGACACGGUCCAGACUCCUACGGGAGGCAGCAGUGGGGAAUAUUGCACAAUGGGGGAAACCCUGAUGCAGCAACGCCGCGUGAAUGAUGAAGGCCUUCGGGUCGUAAAGUUCUUUGAUUGGGGACGAUAAUGACGGUACCCAAAAAACAAGCCACGGCUAACUACGUG